rnacentral:lncRNA from 1 species
UGCCCGCAAGCGCAGGAAGAGAAUCAUCAAUAGUAAGAUUGUUCAGUGGCGCACCUGGCACUAGAGGAGGAAGUUCCUGAUCGGGUUAACUGAACCGAACUAAACUCAAUUUAUUUCGGGUUCCAUUCGGUUCAUGUUAACCUAUGUAAUCCGAAUGGGUUGAAAAUAGGUUUAAUUUCAACCUGAACCGAAAUUUUGGCUUAAAAAACAAAAAAACAAAUCGCUCACUAGUCAUCUCGUAGCUGUCACGCCCAACUCUCCUCUCCACUCAGAGCACCCAUAAAUCCCUAACCGCAAGACAUCAACACCCACGGUGACGGCAGACGCAGCCCACAACCGUCUGCCCGUCCCCUCCAGACUCUAGCUGACACCUGACGCCCGACGCCCGCACCCACUUCAUAGUUCACCCACGCCCGUAAAGUAUAACACUCGCACGGCACACUGCACCGACGCUGACACUGUUAGUUUCUUCCCGCUGACGGGUUGAGCUUUAAAAAAAAAAUCUCUCUCUCACGCUCACAUCUCAGCGCUCAACAAAUCGCAGUUCACAAAACCAAUUUCCAAAUCCCUAAUCACAGCAGCACGACGACAUAUGGCAGCCCAACUCUAGCCGACGCCCAACGCCGCCAUUCACCUCAGCACCACGCUCGCCCUCAGCACGCCCUCUACACGCUCGCAGCCCAAAGCCGUUCACCUCGUGCUCGCGGCUGACUCACUCCCACACGGCCACACUGCUGACGCUCACAGCCCGCAGCCAUUCACCUGUGCCGUUCGCUUCCAAACUAGUUGUCGUCUCUUGACUCACUUCCAUCUCUGCCUAGCUUCCAAUCCAUUCGAUCCAUCAACUCAUCAACAUCAAGGUCAGUAAUUAUUUGAUCUUAAGCUCUCUUCCAUGCUCUAUAAUUCUGCCAAUUUCCAAAUCUUUACGCUCUCAAUCAACUAUCAAAGCAAUCAGUCAAUCACCAUUGAGUUGUAAAUAAUGCCAUAUUGUAAGUAGUUGUUAAUAAAUGCGAGUAACCCCAGGCGUGCCAAUACAGUUCAAUUGAAACCAUUUUUUUACAUUAUUAUUAUUAUUAUUAUUAGUAGUAGCAAAUGAGUCAAAAUUAUGAAUCAGCAAACCAUUUUUUUUUACAUUAUUAUUACUUCUAACCCAAAUUAACCCAAAUUUUUUGAAUUGGACUGUUCCAACUCGAAUUAACCCUAACCGAAAUUUGAACUGAAAUUACCAACCCAAACCAAUCUAAAGUAUGAAUCCAAACCGAACUGAAGCGAAUUAAUUUGCGUUUUCAACAUGAUUGGGUUGUAACACAAAUAGAAACCCAAACAACCUGAACCAAAAUCCGAUUUAGUCACCCCUACCUGGCACCGGCAGCAAUCUCUUGUGAUUUGUUGCCAUUGUACUCAAAUAAGUGAUUCUAGGGAUUGCAAUUUUGUUGCUGUUAUAUUUCAAUAAAUAUUUCUAAGGAUUGAAAGUCUUCUUCCUAGAGACAAACAGAGAGUUAAAUUUAUUACACCAAAAAGGUUUAGGUUAAGCUAUUUUUAUAGUUGGUGGUGUCAUUUUCUUUUUCCAGUUUUAGUUGAUUCGAGUUUGAAGAACAAACUAAUUAUGGCAAAAAGGAAGCAGAGGAGCAAACCGAAGCGUGGACCGAGCUCAUGCAGGUGAAUAACAUGUUAUUUUUUUAUAACAGAAGCUGCUAGUGUAAGUUUUAGCUUUGAUAAUAUUGGCACACAAGUUAAAUUUUAAUCUUUUUCUUUUCCUUUUAAUUUUUUGGGCUAUCUUUAAUAAUGAUCACAUGUGGCAUGUUACCUUUACAGGCUAAUGAAAUUAAUUAUUUAUGUAAAUAGAUUCAUGAGCAAGUAAUGGAUUAAAUCAUUUAUAUUUCUUCCGGUUGUGAAAUUCAUUGUAUUGGCCUAUUGGGUGGUUUGUGUUGACUGUUGAGAUGAUAUAUCUAUUGUUUUUUUAGCUAUUUAAAUUUGGAAAAUGAGAUUCGGCCACCCUCGUUACAGAGGGAAGCCUAAAACGACAUGCUUAUGUGCCGUUUUGAAGUUUUAGAUUUGAGAAUUAAAAACAAAUUUUACCAUUCAAAAAUAAUGAAAGCUAAUCAAAACAAAUUAAAAAAUCUAAAUUCUUAUCCCUCCCCUCACUCAUCCCCUCUCUCUCUCACCCGCUCUGUCCCGCUCGGCUCUCACUCUCACCCACGAAGCUCGUUCCCCUCUCACUCACCCACAAGCUCACUGUUAAUAUUUUGCUCAGAUCUCAGCUAACUCAUCAUCGAAACCCCAACCAUUGACGCUAGGCUUAGGAGGAUCCUGUGUCGUGGGUCUGUUUCUUCUCUGAUCUUGCCCCUUUUUGUUCAAUCUAUUUAUGCCCUUGAUUGAUUUAGUCUCUUUGUUUUGUUGUGUUUCUUGUUCUGGCAAAAUCUAUCGUAGCUGUUGCUUUUAUUAUUUUAUAAUUUUUUUUGGGUGGUUUUGUGUAGUCUUAUGAACAUUCUUUUUGGCAUAAAUGCAUCUGGGUUACUAAGUUUGAUUUUUAAUUAGACUUGAUCCGUAAUUCUAUGCGUUUUUUGAAUUUUUUUUCGUGAAAUUAAGUUAAUUUAGUUUAGUAUUAUUAGAUUAUUGUCACCUAAAAUUAGUAUAUUUAAUCAGUUAAAGAAAUUCUUUUGACACGGCCUUACGAAACCUUGUAUGUGAUAUUUGGUUUUUUUUUUGUAUUUAUAUUUUAAAAUUACUAGAAAUAAGUUAUUUGAAGAGUGAUACGUUGUGAAAUGUUAAAGCUUAUGGUUUCGUUGUAAUUAUCUUUUUGCUUAUAUAUGUUUACGUCUGUUGGCACUCAUUUUUUUCUUUUUGUGUAUUUGAAGUUUGCAUAUAUGGUGUGUAUUAAGAUUUUCAAGUUGUUCUUCAAACAUAUUCUGGGUAGUUUGAUAUAUCACACGUUUCUGUGAAUUCUUUAGUUGAGGCAAUUGUUUUUGGUCUUAGCUGCAUUGUUAAGUUCUUUACCAUAUAGAAUUCCCUAAUUUUCUUCUGCUAAUCCAGUAAUUGCAGCUUCAUUCUAAGGUUCUUUAUUUUCUAUAAAGCAUAUAUUGCUUCAUUAACCCUCCUCUAAAAUUAAACCAAACGUGACUUGUAUUUGAUUUUUAUCCUUGAAAAAUAGAAUCCAUCCUUUUCUAAUAUGUAUUUGAUUCAUUUCAAUCUUACAGAUCAUUUUAAAUUGUUGUUGUUGUAUGAAUCCAACUCGAAUUAACCCUAACCCAAAUUACCAACCCAAACCAAUCCGAAGUAUGAAUCCAAACCGAACUGAAGCGAAUUAAUUUGCGUUUUCAACACAAUUGGGUUGUAACGCAAACCGAAACCCGAACAACCUGAGCCGAAAUCCGAUUUAGUCACCCCUAUCUGGCACCGGCAACAAUCUCUUGUGAUAUGUUGCCAUUGUACUCAAAUAAGUAAUUCUAGGGAUUGCAAUUUUGUUGCUGUUAUAUUGAAAUAAAUAUUUUUAGGGAUUGAAAGUCUUCUUCCUAGAGACAAACAGAGAGUUAAAUUUAUUACACCAAAAAGGUUUAAGUUAAGCUAUUUUUAUAGUUGGUGGUGUCAUUUUCUUUUUCCAGUUUUAGUUGAUUCGAGUUUGAAGAACAAACUAAUUAUGGCAAAAAGGAAGCAAAGGAGCAAACCGAAGUGUGGACCGAGCUCAUGCAGGUGAAUAACAUGUUAUUUUUUUGUAACAAAAGCUGCUAGUGUAAGUUUUAGCUUUGAUAAUAUUGGCACACAAGUUAAAUUUUAAUCUUUUUCUUUUCCUUUUAAUUUUUUGGGCUAUCUUUAAUAAUGAUCACAUGUGGCAUGUUACCUUUACAGGCUAAUGAAAUUAAUUAUUUAUGUAAAUAGAUUCAUGAGCAAGUAAUGGAUUAAAUCUCGUGCUCUUUUUAUAGAGCCUGAUUUGUUGCUGCUUGAUGAACCUACGGUGUGUUAUUUUUGUGCUCUCUAUGGAAUGAAUUGUUGCAGUUGAAUUUGCUUUAUAUAUAAAGUAUUUUUGUGGCAGAAUCACCUUGAUCUUCAUGCUGUCCUAUGGCUGGAAUCUUAUCUAGUGAAAUGGCCAAAAACAUUCAUAGUUGUUUCUCAUGCUAGAGAGUUUUUAAACACGGUAACUCUUUCGAGCUAUUUUUCUUCUCUGUUAGGGAUAAAAUAUACUCGAGUAAUAUAUUUAUUCUGAUAGUUCUUGUCAAUUCAUUAUUAUUUUCAGGUGGUCACAGAUAUUCUUCAUCUACAUGGUCAAAAACUGACUGCAUACAAAGGGAAUUAUGAUACAUUUGAGAGGACCCGGGAGGAACAGAUUAAAAACCAAGUGAAAGCAUUUGAGUCUAAUGAACGAUCAAGAGCACAUAUGCAGGUCUUCUUAGCUGCACUUCAUCCAAAAAGCAUUGAAAGCAAUUUACUUUUUAUUUCUAUUGUCCACCUUGUUUCACAGAUUAUAUUGAUUUGUAUCUAACAUGCAAAUGCUUUUCCUUGAUUAUGCAGUCCUUUAUUGAUAAGUUCCGAUAUAAUGCAAAGAGGGCAUCCCUUGUUCAGUCAAGAAUCAAGGUUUUCUCUUUAACUUAUAUGUCUUUGACUUCAAUGUUGAUCUCAACUUGAUUCCUAGUCCAGCUAUGUUGCUGAAUAAUUUGCCUUUUGGUUCCCUUGGACUUUGUCAGGCAUUAGAGCAGAUGGGUCAUGUAGAUGAAGUUGUAAAUGAUCCUGAGUAAGUACUGCUCUCCUGUUGACAAUAACGUUUUCCAGAAUUUCUAAAGUUUAGACUUUGCAUAUUUUUGCUUCAAAUUUCCUCUUUUAGAUUUACUCUUAUACCAAUGAUUUUUUGUUUUUACAAUGCAGCUAAAAAUUUGAGUUCCCAACUCCGGACGAUAGACCUGGGCCCCCUAUAAUAAGUUUCAGGUUAUAUUUUGCAGCUAAUCUGGGGGAAUGUUGAACAAAUGUUUUUAAGCUGUGCUUUUGUGUUUUUUGAGUAUCAAAGGCAUUAUUGGUUUGCAAUUAAUUUUUCCACUUCUGCUAGUAGUACAAGUUCCUUGCUGUGUGGCUGUAAUUAUUUUCAACUAGCAGUAUAUGUCUAUGCAUUACCAAAUUUUCUUUAAAUUCAGAAUGCUAAUUUAUCCCCUGUUAAAAUUACAUUUGGAUCUUGAAUUUUAUCCCAAGCUUGUUGGAAUCUAAUAAUCUUCUUGAAUGUGAUUGCAGCGAUGCAUCAUUUGGUUACCCUGGUGGGCCUAUAUUAUUUAAGAAUUUGAAUUUUGGGAUUGAUUUGGACAGCCGGAUAGCAAGUAGGCAUGCCUGUCCCUCUUUUUGCUUUUGAUUAUACAUUAGUUAAUUACAUCAUGUAUCUUUCAUGCUUUACAUUAAUGAAUUUGUAUACACAAGGUCAUUAUUCUAUAAAUGGAAUACAUGGUGCUAUCUUUGUGUAUUACUUGUAUGCUGAUGGCAGUUUUUAUCUGGGUGUUUGUAUUGUUUUGCAGUGGUUGGGCCAAAUGGGAUCGGCAAAUCAACUAUACUCAAACUUAUUGCUGGUGAGCUACAACCAAGCUCUGGAACAGUUUUCCGUUCAGCUAAGGUAUCUUAUUCUUGUUUUCUAGAAAUUUCAUAUAGUAAUUGCAAUUUUAACUCAGAUUCUUGUCUAUCAUGCAUCUAAAAUAAGUUUCACUGGCCAAUUGUAUUUCUGUCAUGACCUUCAUUCCCUGUGCAGUAGGAUUUAUCAGAUUCUCUUUUAUACAUUACUUAUUGUUCCACUUAAUAUCUUUGUAAAAGUUUUAUUUUAUUCUUGGAUAAUUGGUCUGGGUCUUGUAUACUUUGAUAUAAUGGAUUGUCAUUUCUGUCUCAACAGGUUCGCAUAGCUGUGUUCAGUCAGCACCAUGUUGAUGGGCUAGACCUAUCUUCAAAUCCCCUCUUGUACAUGAUGCGCUGCUUCCCUGUAAGCUAUUGUACUCUCCUCUUCCUUUUCGCAUUACAUUUAUGCAUCUAUGGAUACAUGCGUGCACCUUGUGGAAAACAAUCUGUAGUGUCAAGUUCAUAUGGCAGUCAUAAUUUGUUGUUAUCCUGGAUCUCAGAAUACCAUUGUUCAAAGAAUAUCAUGUAAUCAAAUCCCUUAUUUGAAGUUUUCUUCCUGCAGGGGGUGCCUGAGCAGAAGCUUCGAGCUCACUUGGGUUCUUUUGGUGUAACUGGAAAUCUUGCUCUUCAACCGAUGUACACUUUGUCUGGUAUGCUUCCUUUUUUAUCUUCUUAUGUCAUUGAUACAUUACAUUGGUUAUUUAAUGAUCUUGUAGAACUGCAGUUUGACUUUUGUCUGAAUUGACUUUUUGCAUUGUUUAUUGGAUUGAAGGCUUGCCACAAGUAGCAUGCAAGCCAUGUUAUAGUCAUGACUAAAAUGCAAGCUAUAUGUUAUUGUCAUGACUAACACACAAGCCAUAUGUUGUGUGUGGUGUCACCUGCGCACCACCAGUCUUCACAAUGAUAAGGUUUUAGUUUUUUAUGUACAGGUUCUCAUGUGUCUUUGUAUUUACGAUUUCUAUAUUAGGUGGCCAGAAAAGCAGAGUUGCUUUUGCAAAGAUUACAUUCAAAAAGCCACACAUAAUAUUGCUUGAUGAGCCAUCUAAUCACCUUGCAAGUUGCAAUCUUCUCUUUGCAUCUCUUUUGUCUUUUAGUAAUGUCCAACAUGCUCUAGAAAGUCGGGAUGCUAAGAUAUGAUUUGAGAUUUUGCUGGGGUAAGGAGGUGGAAUUUAUGUUGGAAAUAGAGUUUGGAUAUAUGUAUAUAUUUUGAAACAGAGUUUUGAUGCUAUUUUAACUCUAUUAUCCACUAUUGCAAUGGUGAAAAUUUUCAGCUAUUUUGAUUGACAUACUGAUGUUUCAAAAUGUAGGAUUUGGAUGCAGUGGAGGCACUAAUUCAAGGCCUUGUUUUGUUCCAAGGAGGGAUUCUCAUGGUAUUUUGCUUGUUCUCUUCAUGAUUAUAGUUCACGAAACUUAAUCAAUGAUAUAAAUAUAAUUCAUUAAGCUUAUUGAACUAUAUCAUGUUUUAUCAAACAUUUUGUUGUAAAAUGCGCCUGUUUCUACCGCGCAGGUUAGUCACGACGAACAUCUGAUAUCUGGAAGUGUAGAGGAGCUAUGGGUUGUAUCAGAAGGCAAGGCGACACCAUAUUUGUUGGAGCUUAGAGAUAUGCUCUCACAAGGGAAGUCUCGAACAGGAGGUGUUUCUUUUAUUUUAUUUUAUUUGAAAGUUGAAACAGAGGUGUUUAUUAAUUCAGCUAAAAAGUAAUUUUCUUUUGCAAGUAUAUCUAAUUUUCUCUUUUUUAUGAAUUUAACAAUAAAUAUUAAAUUGAAUGAAAAGGAAUCACUGUAGCAUUAAUGGUAAAACUUCUAAAUAAAUAAAUAAAACAAAUUUGAGUAUGACUAGGGAUGGUAAUUGUACCCGCAAACCCGCCCAAAUGCCCCCGUCAAAACCCGUCCGUUGCGGGUAAUUUUACCCGUUGCGGGCGGGUUUAGUAUUAUAAAUUAAAACCCGCACAUGGAUGCGGGUGGGUUUGGUAUUAACUUUAUAUCCGGUGGAUACCCGCAUGGAUAUCCACCAAACCCAUAAUAUUUUUUUUAAAUAUUUUUAAUUUAAUUUUAAUCUAAAAAUGUAUAAAGAAAAUAAUGUCAUUAAUUAAAUUACCAAAUAGCCAAAGGCUCAAAGUUGUGUAUGUGUGUAUGUGGCCUAUAUCCUAUUUUAAAGUCAUAAUUUAAAGAAAACUAAAGGCAUUUUUCUUCAAAUUAGUAUUUGAAAAUAUUAAUCUUAAUUAUUAUUAUAGGCAUUGUGUUGGAUGGGUGCUUAUGGUGGUGAAUGAAAUGAAUAUCUUCUCUUGGAGCUUGUUUUAAAUGAUAAUAUGAAAUGUAAUUAUUAUUUUUAGAUACUAGUUUGUGUUUUUUAAAUGGAUUUGUGUAAUUUAUACUUAAAUUUGAGAAUUUGUGUUGAAUUGAUGUGGAAAUUUUAAUUUUUCAUUUACAUUAUUUAAAUAUAAAAUUGAGUAUGUUAUAUGGAAUUUGAGGUUAUUAUUAUAAAUUUAUAUAUUAAACAUUUGUGAUUUUAAAUACGAAAACCCGCAAAAAAUCCGUCAGAUACCAUUGCGGGUUUGGUAAUUGUUAAAAUCCGCUGCGAGUUGCGGGUGGGUUUGGUAAUUUAAAUUUUGUGCGGGUUUGGGUGUGGUAAUGGCAAACCCGCUGCGGGUGGUGCCCAUUACCAUCCCUAAGUAUGACUGUGCUCUGUGCAUCCGUGGAAUCGGUCAGUGCCGUGGGAAGGAAUCGAACCUGGUCAUCGGUUACAAUUAAAAUAUGCGACUCAUCAUAAGUAAAUAUCACAUUAAUUAAGAUUAUAAUGAAUUAAGAUUGUAAUGAGUGUGAGUCAGGCUUAAAUUAUACAUAGAGUAUUUAUAUGAUUUAUGAUUGGACAAUGGAUGAGGGAGAGUUACCUAAAAUCUAUAUAUAUAUAUAUAAAUAAUGAAAUCACAAAUCUCAGGGUCUAAUACUCUAAUUCCAAGUCUCUGACAAUUGGGUCCGUUCUUGUUUUAUCCGCAAUUCCAAACAAUUCAUCCAAACCCCAAAUAAAAAAGCAAAUACCCAAUUUUCAUUUUCAUAUCUCACAAAAUUCUAAAAUCUAAUUCGUAAUGGAAGAUAACAAAUUAACAACCCCAGUAACAGCAUAAUAUCGCGAGACAGCUUGGGCAACGUGGCAAGCUGGGUGAGCGCCACUGUAGUCUCCGCCUUCUUCGCGUCCCUCGAACGAUGCUCUUGCGUCAAUCUCAGUACAACCGAUCCCGACGACGACGAGGAGGAUGAGGCGAAGGAUCGCCCUCUUACGCUCACCAGCAACUCCCACGCUCCCGACGACAUCGUUUGAUCCAUCGCCUGCCCUUCCUUUGGUAUCUGAAUUGUUAUAUUAAUCAAUUCCUUUUACCUCUUUUCUUUUCUUACAACAACAAAAAAACGCUGCGUUUUAUAUGUCGUUUAGGGCUUUCAUGUGGAUAAUCAAAUCUCAGUUAAUGUGUAAUAACGGUGUUGAAAUUGUUGGAGCUGGUUCGUUUGGCUGUGUUUCGUUUUCAAUUCGAUUUUGUGAAUGCUGAACAAAUAUUUGCUGUAUUUUGUGAGGAUAUUUUUGGGUUUUCUAAUUUCCAGCACAAUUUGAAGAUAUGCAAGUCCUUAUCCUCUCUGAAGUUGUCUUGGUAUGAACGAAACUAAGUUUUUUCUUAUUUGAUUAUUGUUCUUGCUGCAAGAUCCUUGGUCAAUAUUAAUAUUUUUGAUUGUUUGUUUUUACAAGGAUAUCACUGGAAUGUGUUUUUUUUUUGCGCCCCCCCACCACCCCCAACGUUUUUGCUAUUGAAUUCCAUGAUAAAUCUUUAUCUGGGGGAAUUCAACUUUGCCAUCUCUUAUUGGCUGGCUCAAUAACCAAUUUGCUGCUGCAAAUAACUUUAUUGCUCUGGCUUAUUAAUAGAGUUUUCUGUAGAUAUAUACUUGCAGUGCAUAAGACUAUGUAUACCACCAGAAAUUGGCAUAUUCAUCUGCUUAAUCUAAUUGAUCAAAAUUGCUAGGAAUGAAUCUCCAUAGUUUUGACGCUUGUUUUCAGAGUAGAGUUUUGCUAGACUGAAACUAGAAACAAUGCUACUUUUUAUGGAGAUGUAGUUUCAGGGACAUGGCAAAAAGUUUCUAGUUCAUUUUCAUGCCUGCAGCUAGAGGAUCGCUCUGGCAUCGCACACAGCUGACUGUUGGCUGGGCCUCUAUGGAUCAUUAUCACUGAGAUUAGGGCUGAUUUUAACCCACCUGGACAUAGUAAUGGUCAAGAUGCUUUUUGAGUAGUGUAUUUCAUAUCAUUUUGAGUAUUUGUUGCUUUUACUGGGCCUGGCGAUGUUAUCUUAACUCUAUUUCUAAUUUUCUAUGCAAGUGAUACCUCAUCAUUUGCUUAAGUGAAGAAGCCUUGCAAUAAUGCUAAAGCUGAUUGUGCAGUAACCUCUUCUUUGGUGCUGUUUCCAAUUUGUCCUAAUGUCCAUUCGGUAUCAUCUUUCUUUGAGUUGUUCUAUUGCUUCCCCCCCCAAAACAAAAAAAAAUAAAGAACUCUCAAUUUAGCAUUAUCAGUAUCUCCAACACAAGCUCUUUGGCAUGAAUAAACCUUUUGUGCAGCCGACAAGUGCAUAUCUUCUGUUAGUUUUAUCACCAUAUGAGGUGUUUUUAAAAUCUCUAGGUUAUGAAUAUGGUUGGCAAGUAGGAACUACUCUAUUUGUUUUAUCACCAUAUGAAGUGUUGUAAAAAUCUCUAGGUUAUGACUAUGCAUAACAAGUAGGAACAACUGAAUAAAUUCUAAGCUUGUGACUCUUGGGCUAAGACAAUGGAUAUCUCAACCUAGGCUGGCCCUUGAGAACUCUUGAUUUAUAUAGGCGUGCUUGUCAGUUGUCUCACAUUCUUUUUCCAGAAUAUUUAUUGAGGAAACAUAGAUAAUGAAGCACCACCUAGUAGAGUGAUCCUGCUUUCUGUUUCCAUCAAAUAUGAAGCUGGAAGCUUGCCCAAACAAAAAGUAAAAAGAUUCAGGAGAUAAAAAAUUUUAGAACCAAAAAAAAAAAAAAGAGGCCUGAAUUUGCAUUGCAUUUUUAAAACUUAUAUGGAAGGAGGACUAGCUUAACCCCUCCCCCUUCCUAACACAUGCACAACUCCCCAUUCUCACAUACUCUUACCUCUCUCGCUUUCUCCCCUUAUAAUACAUACGUCACUAUCCCUAUGUUUUAUGAGCGCAAGAGCUUCAUGUUUUUUGAGUUAACUAAACUAAUGCCCAAGUAUAAGAGCAAAAGUAGCAUAGAUGAUUAAUCUCCAUCCUUCCUCCAACAAAGUAACAUGAACACACAACGACGGAUUAUGUAGAACCUCGCUUUCUUUUCCUUCAAAACUCUACUCUUGGGUGCUGAAACUUUGGCUUGCUUUGGCUGGGAUUGGGAAGUAGACAUUCUCGAUGACCUUAUGGCUCUCUGGUAUGUUCCUUCUUCUGCUUCACAAUCAGUAACUUCUCAGAUUAUGAGUGUCUUCCCCUUGUGGAAUAUUUUGUAGGGGGCUGGUAGAGUUUGUUUCAGCUUUCUUUGAUGUCAGUAAAUAGAUGGUCAAAUAUACCAGUAGGGGCCUUGAUGCUUGGCCACGCUUUCCUAAGGCAGUCAACCAGGAAGCUGGUUUUCUGCUCUCAAAAGGCUGUCUUUUGCAGUUUUCUACAUUGAUUCAAUACCCGGACUUCCUGGUUAAUUGUCUUCUGACCGACCAUAUUAGUGCUCUGCUCCCACGAUUUAUUGCCGAAAAGACAAAUGGACCACCUAGCCCCAUAGAGACAUAUCAACAAAAGGUCAGAUGCGGGUAUCACUUACCUAUAAAUUUCUGAAAAAUAAUAAUAAUGAUAAUAAUGAUAAUGGUUACUGUCUUACUGAACCACACCCCCAUCUACACACAAUAGAACCUCAGCUGACCCUGAGAUGUGAAUGUGGCUGGUUUGGUCGUAUAUCAAGUCCCUUCAUAAUUUUUGGUAUCUUUGCUUCUGAUUUCGUAUUUAACUCUCUUUUCAAAUUUCAGCUGUUCAGAUUAUUUAUUAGACAUGUUUGAAAAGACCAUAAGAAAGAAGCAACCAGUUUUGUUUUUUUUUUGGUGUUCUCUUCAAUUUCUCAAGUAAGAGAGAGAGGAGAUGUAUCGAAUGAGUAAGGAACUGCCCCCACCCAGCAACCCAAGUUUUGGGCUCCCGACUCAGGCUUUCCAAUUGUUGGGUUGCGUGUUUCCAUUGACCAUCUGUAUUCCUCAUGUCCAUAGAUUGCAUUUUGCCAUGAAUAAACUCAAGAUUCCUCUAAACUCAUGCCCCUGCGUAUUGAAUUCAGUCUACUAGGGUUCAGAACUCUCCUUUCCCAUGAUGAAUUAUAUAGAACAACGGAAAGGACUAAAAGUAUGUAUGCCCUUCCUUUGGCCUUUAUGGAAGUUUGUUAGUCCUAGCCCUGGCCAGCAGCCCUGAGAACCCCACGCUCGGUGUGUGUGUGUGUGUGUGUGUGUGUGUAUGAGUUGGUUUUCUUUUUCUUUUCUUUUUUUUUUUUUAAAUUUUAUAUUAGUUGCUUUUGCUCCGGUGAUGACUUUGAUCAGAAGCCCAUAUCGUUCCAAUUUCCGAAUCUUUUUAUAUAUUUUAUGUGUGGAAGUGGAACCGAAGAGAUUCUGAGGAGCUUUCUUCACCUUAUAUUUCCCUCUUCGUUUUUUCUUUCUUUCGUUCUCCAUUUCUCUUUUUUUUUUUUUUUUUUUUCUUUUUUUUCUUUUUGUGUUUUUUUUGGGGGGGUUGGGAUUUUAUGAGCUGUUUUCCUAUUACUGCUGAAUGCCCGUUCAAUACUAUGAUGAAUUGGUGAUAAUACAUUUGUUACCUCCUUAUAUAAUGAUGUAAGGUAUACAAUUGUUCGAUGAAAAUUCAAUGACUGUAAAAAUAUAAAAUAACAGAAUUUUUUUUUUACAACGGUUAGAUUUUUAUCGAAUGGUUACAGGAGAAUUAUGUAUCUUACAUAAUAAUAUAAGAUAAUAAGUUCAUGAUGAUAGAGUCGCAGACAAACACGAAGAAAUUGACAGAAAAUGAUAAUAGUUAAUUUUUUAAUUUUUUAAAUUUUAUGGGUUGAUAAUAAUUUUAUACAAUUAAUUUCUUCAUAUUACAUUAAUUUUUAUGGACAAAUUUAUACACACUAAUUUAUACAAGAUAAUUGUGACUUUAUCAAAAAUUCAUUAAUACAACCUUAAUUUUUGGCAACAUACAACAGGUAGGAGGUAUUCUUCUUCUUGUUUGAACUCAGCCAAAUAUUAAAAGAAUGCAAUCCGCGAUAUUGGUAUGUGCAGGAACUGGUUCUAGUUGGGCUUGGCCAGCCUAUCUUACAUUCGCAAUACCACUUAUGUGUUAUUUUUCAGUCCUAAAAUUUUUGCGCGAUUGUUUUUUGAAAUUAAUGAUUUAAAAGCAAAAAAUCCCCUAGGAGGAAUUCAUGUUCAUGGAAGAAAAUUGGCUAACGCCUCGUGUGACUCAUAAAUUAACGGUUCAACUUUUAUAAUAAAUGACGAAUUAGAGUUUUUAUAACUUUAUAUAAGUUUAUUUAAAGUUAAUUUUAUAAAAAAAAAUUUUUUUUAAGUAAAUACACUAAAUUUUAACAUUAUUUGUUAAUAAGCAUACAUAUUAUUAAAAUCUUACGGCUAUUUUUAUCAUGUGAUUUUCUGGUAGUGUAUAUUGGUAUAUGACUUAUUUUUGUCAUGUGAUUUUCUGUUAACAAACAUUAGUAUAUUUUAAGUCGAAUUUUUACGAUUGAAAUAAGUUAUUUCAACUUACUUCUAAAUGUUCAAACUCACAAGAGUAUGGUUGUAAAACUUUUUUUAUUUUUAUUUUUUUUAAUAGUGAAAAAGUUAACUGAUGAGUCGUUGACUUGGGCAAUAGCAUUUCUUAAAUAAUAAAUAAACAAAAUUAAUAGCCAAAAGAAAGUUUCAGUUUAAUAUGUCAAUGUCUGAUCACGAAUGCUAACAAACAAAUGAUAGAACAAAAUUAGCCGUUUGGAAUCAGAAAUUAGAGUCAAUUCAAUUCUAGUGACUAAUCUUUCCACAAAACGAACAAAACCCGUUUACUUCAGUUGACAUUCCUUUUACGUAGAAACCCACCAUGUCUCCUAAGCAACAAUCCCUCUCUUCAUUCAUCUCCAAUCAUGUGCAUGGCGUCUUUUCAUUCUCGUAGCAGUAACAAUAACGGUAACCACCCCGCGUCCUCUUUCUCUCUUUUGUUGUUGUUUUUGUUGCUUGCAUCAGUAUCAGCAUCAGGGACUGUCGCAAAAGCUAUCUCACAGCCAACCACAGGCAAUUUUGACAGAGGCCCCGUCGUACCCACAACCCCGUUGGUCACUUUCUUGGAGCGUGUACAAGAAACUGCUCUCGCAACUUUCGAACAAAAAGACUUUGAUCCAAAACUUUACGUUGAUUUGUCGUUGAAGUCCAAUCUUUCCACAACUGUUACCGCUUUUCACAAGCUACCGAGAAAUGCAACUGGGUCAGUUUUGGUUCCUGAUUUCAAGGAGUUCUUGCACGAAUAUUUUGAUGGUGCAGGAGACGAUCUUAUGUACGCUGAACCACCAGAUUUUGUGCCCGAACCAGAUGGGUUCUUGCCUAAGGUGAAGAACCCUCAAGUGAGAGCAUGGGCUCUUGAGGUGCAUGCUUUGUGGAAGAAUUUGUCUCGGAGAGUUUCUGGUUCGAUAUUGAACCGGCCUGAGUUUCACACUUUGCUUCCCCUGCCUCGACCGUUUGUUAUUCCAGGUUCCCGGUUUACAGAGGUCUACUAUUGGGAUUCAUACUGGGUUAUUAGGUUAGUUUUUGUAUUUGUUCUAUUUUUUUUUUUUCAAUGCCAGUUCAGUGACGUUGAAGAAAUUUUUUUUUUCUCUAAUGUCAAGUGCUUUUGUGCUGCUAAAUUUUUUUAUGGGUGUGAUUCAAUGUGCGUAUAGGGGCUUGCUAGCAAGUAAGAUGUAUAUGACAGCGAAGGCAAUUGUGGCCAAUCUCAUUUCUCUUAUUGAUACAUAUGGUUAUGUUCUUAAUUGUGCGAGAGCUUAUUGCACCAAUAGGAGGUAAUGCUUCUUCUUGUGCUAUCUUACUUAUUUUGGCUCCAACAUCUAUUGUAUUAGUUACAACUGUCAGAUCAUGCUUCUUCGUCAUUUUGUUUCCCAUCAGACCAAAGUUUUAGGCAUAGCUUCUGCAGUAUCUUCUGCAUUGAAUACAUGUAAAAUGUUCCCAUCUUUCUGACCAUGUAUCGUAUAUGCUUUCUUUUGAAUCUGUGCACCAUGCUUGCUAUUGACAUGGCAUGGGUUCAUGUCUUGCAGCCAGCCUCCCCUUCUCAGUGCAAUGGUUUACGAUAUUUACAAUCGAACUGGUGACUUAGAUUUGGUCAAAAAGGCUCUCUCUGCCCUGCUCAAAGAACAUCAAUUUUGGAAUUCAGGUAUACUGAAUACAUACUAUUUACAUAAAUAGUAUCCUCCCCUGCGCAAGAUUCGUUUCUUUGUUUGCUUGAACGUAAUUAUAUAGCUGAUAUACAUGUUAAUGUAUUGUAGGAAUACAUAAGGGUACGGUACAGCAGUCCUGAUCGGGUUAACUGAACCGAACUAAACUCAAUUUAUUUCGGGUUCCAUUCGGUUGCUGAAUCGGGAUGGGAUUUUAGUACCAGAUGGAUGAGGUAAUUAAUUAUCUUGCAUCAAACCAGUAUCCGUUAGGAAAAAAAUGACAUAAUUAAGAUCAGUUGGAGAAAAAUUCAUUUCCUCUACUGUGUGAUUCAAUUAAUUAAUUAUCAGACAAAACUCAGUUGACAAAUUUAUGGAGUUUAAUUGUCUUCUUGCAGGAAUACUUCAGAUUUCACCACAUUGGCAAUAACAUCAAUAUUACCUGUUGAUUUAAAUAUAUUUAUACUCAAGGUAAAAGUCUUUGCCUUCUUAGUAAGUCUAGAGACUUGGAAGUCCAUCCAUUUUUUCCCCCCAUAUUUAAGUGAUGUUUGUAUGUUGAUCCAGAUGGAACUUGACAUUGCCUCGAUGGCACAAAUUGUUGGAGACAAUAGAACUGCUGAGAGUUUCUUGAAAGCUGCUCAAGCAAGAAAACAGGCAAUAAACUCUGUUUUCUGGAAUGAAGAAAAGGGGCAAUGGCUGGAUUAUUGGAUAAGUAAUGGAACUAGCAGCCAGGUGAUUACCUGAAUGUGACGCUUAUUAGCUAAGACAUAACUUCCUCAGCUGUUCUUCCUCCUCCCCCCCCCCCCCCCCCCCCCCCCCCCCCCCCCCCCCCCCCCCCCCCCCCCCCCCCCCCCCCCCCCCCCCCCCCCCCCCCCCCCCCCCCCCCCCCCCCCCCCCCCCCCCCCCCCCCCCCCCCCCCCCCCCCCCCCCCCCCCCCCCCCCCCCCCCCCCCCCCCCCCCCCCCCCCCCCCCCCCCCCCCCCCCCCCCCCCCCCCCCCCCCCCCCCCCCCCCCCCCCCCCCCCCCCCCCCCCCCCCCCCCCCCCCCCCCCCCCCCCCCCCCCCCCCCCCCCCCCCCCCCCCCCCCCCCCCCCCCCCCCCCCCCCCCCCCCCCCCCCCCCCCCCCCCCCCCCCCCCCCCCCCCCCCCCCCCCCCCCCCCCCCCCCCCCCCCCCCCCCCCCCCCCCCCCCCCCCCCCCCCCCCCCCCCCCCCCCCCCCCCCCCCCCCCCCCCCCCCCCCCCCCCCCCCCCCCCCCCCCCCCCCCGGGAUUCUUAAGUUGAAUAAUUGAUGAAUACUGAGAAUGCUUUAAUGAGAGUAUUGUUUAUUCUGAAGCCUUUUAUGUUAUCCAGAUACUUGUAUAGUGGAGAAAGUCAAAAAAAGCUUUCAAAGUUCAGGCUUACUCGGUGCUGCUGGAAUUGCAACUUCUUGGACAAGAUCAGGAGAACAAUGGUAAUAAUUAAUUAGUUACAAAUUCAAUGUUAACAUUUGAAUUGGAUUUUUCUUUAUAUUUGUUGGCUAUUACUUAAUGUUACCAAUAUGAAACAGGCUGCUGUACCGUACAUCCGCCUUGGCCGUACAGCAGAAAUUUUGGCUUAAAAAACAAAAAAACAAAUCGCUCACUAGUCAUCUCGUAGCUGUCACGCCCAACUCUCCUCUCCACUCAGAGCACCCAUAAAUCCCUAACCGCAAGACAUCAACACCCACGGUGACGGCAGACGCAGCCCACAACCGUCUGCCCGUCCCCUCCAGACUCUAGCUGACACCUGACGCCCGACGCCCGCACCCACUUCAUAGUUCACCCACGCCCGUAAAGUAUAACACUCGCACGGCACACUGCACCGACGCUGACACUGUUAGUUUCUUCCCGCUGACGGGUUGAGCUUUAAAAAAAAAAUCUCUCUCUCACGCUCACAUCUCAGCGCUCAACAAAUCGCAGUUCACAAAACCAAUUUCCAAAUCCCUAAUCACAGCAGCACGACGACAUAUGGCAGCCCAACUCUAGCCGACGCCCAACGCCGCCAUUCACCUCAGCACCACGCUCGCCCUCAGCACGCCCUCUACACGCUCGCAGCCCAAAGCCGUUCACCUCGUGCUCGCGGCUGACUCACUCCCACACGGCCACACUGCUGACGCUCACAGCCCGCAGCCAUUCACCUGUGCCGUUCGCUUCCAAACUAGUUGUCGUCUCUUGACUCACUUCCAUCUCUGCC